AAUACUGAUAGCUAGAGUGUGGAUCUUGCAUAUCGAAUUAGCAUGGGCAGAAUAAGGUCAUUGUAUAUAGAUUAAUGACUUGUGCGACUGUUGAAGAAAAGAUAUACAGAAAACAGGGUAUUCCGGAGCAAAAGACCGACAAGGAUUGUGGAUAUUUUAUAAUGAGAUACAUGAAGGAAAUAGUGGAGGAUAAAACCUUGGACAUUUUCAGCAAGUGGGAGAGAAGAAGUAAAGCAGCAUAUUCCCAGGAGGAUAUCGAUGUGGUCAGAACUGAGUAGGCAAAGUUUGUGGUUAAAACAUAUAUGUAAGAUUUGUGUUGGUACUUCUUGGAGACCUAGUUCAAAGUUUGUGGUUAUGUUUUGGUUGGACAGGAUCAGUAGCUAGUACUUUGAAUUGAUGUGUAAGAAAUACUUUAACAAUUGGGUACUCUAUUUCUAGUUUCGGUGUG